rnacentral:rRNA from 1 species
CGCCCUUAGAGUUUGAUCAUGGCUCAGGAUGAACGCUGGCGGCGUGCCUAAUACAUGCAAGUCGAACGCAAAGAUGCUUGCAUCUUUGAGUGGCGAACGGGUGAGUAACACGUGAACAACCUACCUUAUAGUAGGGGAUAACAUUUGGAAACAGAUGCUAAUACCGUAUAAAACAAUUUUUGCAUAAAAAGUUGUAAAAGGCGUUCGCGUCGCUAAAAGAUGGAUUCGCGCUGCAUUAGUUAGUUGGUGAGGUAAAGGCUCACCAAGACGAUGAUGCAUAGCCGAGUUGAGAGACUGAUCGGCCACAUUGGGACUGAGACACGGCCCAAGCUCCUACGGGAGGCUGCAGUAAGGAAUCUUCCACAAUGGGCGAAAGCCUGAUGGAGCAACGCCGCGUGUGUGAUGAAGGCUUUCGGGUCGUAAAGCACUGUUGUAUGGGAAGAAUGGCUUAAGGGAAAAUCUAAGAUUGACGGUACCAUACCAGAAAGGGACGGCUAAAUACGUG